UUAGCCCUAAUUUGUCCAUCUCUCAUCUCCGCCUCCAUCUUCUCUCAUCUCUACCCUUCCAUUCACUUCCAUCUUUCCCAUUGGUGAGCUCGGUGGUGCAAGAGGUCACUGGGCAUCGAUUCUAGGACGUCAACCAGGCAAUCGUUGACUUUGUCAUCAACAUCCUCGUCGACGAGGACUUCGAUUUCGGUGGAGGGAGCCUUUGAAGCUCUAGGCGAACUCCUUUUCGACUCUCGUUUAAGAUUUUUCCAUCUUUUAAUAUAUGUAUUCUGUGUUUUGAAUCUCAAUCUGUUUAUGAUUGUUAAUGGACAAAUGGAUGAGCCUGUGGUGGAAGAUGUGAGGGAGGAUGAGGAACACGAAGAUGAUGCUGAGGACUCCGAUGAUGAAGACAAUGAUAAGAAAGAUGGUAUCGCAGAUUUUGGUAUACAAGUAUGAAGAGCGAGCAUAUCCAUCAUCGCAAAAUAGGUUGGUUUGAAGAUGUAGUCCUUGCUUGUAAGUGUGGUGACAUAGUCGUGCAUUGAAGCCUUCUAUCUCCAAAUGUUGGGUUUAUGGAUAAUUUCUUAUUGUAGUGGAUGUAUAAUUCAAGUGUACUCAUUUAUCAAAAGAAAUUUCUUAUUUAAUGUUGUAUCACAUUUAAUGUUUUAGUGUA